rnacentral:rRNA from 1 species
AUACGGAGGAUGCAAGCGUUAUCCGGAUUUAUUGGGUUUAAAGGGUGCGUAGGCUGUUUGUCAAGUCAGGGGUGAAAUACCUGAGCCUAACUCGGGAACUGCCUUUGAUACUGGCAGGCUGGAAUACGGAUGCCGUGGGAGGACUUAGUAGUGUAGCGGUGAAAUGCAUAGAUAUUACUCAGAACACCGAUUGCGAAGGCAUCUCACGAAUCCGUCAUUGACGCUGAGGCACGAAAGCGUGGGGAUCAAACAGGAUUAGAUACCCUGGUAGUCCACGCAGUAAACGAUGAUAACUAACCGUCGGCGAUAGAGUGUCGGUGGCCAAGCGAAAGCGAUAAGUUAUCCACCUGGGGAGUACGUUCGCAAGAAUGAAACUCAAAUGAAUUGACGGGG